UGAUAAUGUUCAAUGAAUGUGUGUUCAGGGAGAAACAGAUAAGGCAGUCAUUCGCUGAAAUUAGUUUUCACACAACAGAACCUCAGUGGUCAAGGAAUUAAUAAUUCAUCAGGAUCCAUUUAUUUAGCCACCAUUUGAUGGAACUGAGGUUAUCUGUCUCAUACACAAGAUUAUAUAUUGCUGGAAUUAGGCCUGCAGGAGGAAUUGUGUAUCUAUAUACAGUACUUGCUCAUUAAC